UACGAAGGGGGCGAGCGUUGUUCGGAUUUACUGGGCGUAAAGGGCGCGCAGGCGGUCUUGAAAGUCAGGCGUGAAAGCCCCGGGCUUAACCUGGGAAUUGCGCUUGAUACUCUGAGACUGGAGUACGGGAGAGGAGAGUGGAAUUCCCAGUGUAGAGGUGAAAUUCGUAGAUAUUGGGGAAGAACACCAGUGGCGAAGGGCGGCUCUCUGGACCGUAACUGACGCUGAGGCGCGAAAGCGUGGGGAGCAAACAGG
rnacentral:rRNA from 1 species